rnacentral:rRNA from 2 species
AAAUUGAAGAGUUUGAUCAUGGCUCAGAUUGAACGCUGGCGGCAGGCCUAACACAUGCAAGUCGAACGGUAGCACAGAGAGCUUGCUCUCGGGUGACGAGUGGCGGACGGGUGAGUAAUGUCUGGGAAACUGCCUGAUGGAGGGGGAUAACUACUGGAAACGGUGGCUAAUACCGCAUAACGUCGCAAGACCAAAGAGGGGGACCUUCGGGCCUCUUGCCAUCAGAUGUGCCCAGAUGGGAUUAGCUUGUUGGUGAGGUAACGGCUCACCAAGGCGACGAUCCCUAGCUGGUCUGAGAGGAUGACCAGCCACACUGGAACUGAGACACGGUCCAGACUCCUACGGGAGGCAGCAGUGGGGAAUA